AAAUCGUAACAAGGUUUUUGUAGGUGAAUCUGCGAAAGAAUCAUUAUCAAGUCUGAAUUCAACCACUUGUGAACGUGUCUUGUGGAGGUUUUAAGAGCUUUGCUCUUUCUUUCCAUGAAUUGUUUCGGCAUUUGUUGGAAGCCUCCCUUUAGGCGUGUGCUCUUCUUUGUUGAAAGACAAAACAACCACAAAACCAUUAUGAAUCACAAUUGAAUAUGUUCAUUUGGUUUUUUACUUAAAAUCAAAACGACAACUAUUUACGGUGGGUCUGUUGGCUCAU
rnacentral:misc_RNA from 1 species